rnacentral:rRNA from 1 species
UACGAAGGGUGCAAGCGUUACUCGGAAUUACUGGGCGUAAAGCGUGCGUAGGUGGUUCGUUAAGUCUGAUGUGAAAGCCCUGGGCUCAACCUGGGAACUGCAUUGGAUACUGGCGAUCUGGAGUGCGGUAGAGGGUGGCGGAAUUCCCGGUGUAGCAGUGAAAUGCGUAGAUAUGUGGAGGAAUACCGAUGGCGAAGGCAGCCCCCUGGGAUAACACUGACGCUCAUGCACGAAAGCGUGGGGAGCAAACAGG